rnacentral:rRNA from 1 species
GACGAAGGGGGCUAGCGUUGUUCGGAAUUACUGGGCGUAAAGCGCGUGUAGGCGGUUGCCCAAGUCGGGUGUGAAAGCCUUGAGCUCAACUCAAGAAAUGCACUCGGUACUGGGUGACUAGAGGACCGGAGAGGAUAGUGGAAUUCCCAGUGUAGUGGUGAAAUACGUAGAGAUUGGGAAGAACACCAGCGGCGAAGGCGGCUAUCUGGACGGUUUCUGACGCUAAGACGCGAAAGCGUGGGGAGCAAACAGG